rnacentral:rRNA from 1 species
UACAGAGGUCUCAAGCGUUUGUUCGGAUUCAUUGGGCGUAAAGGGUGCGUAGGUGGCGCCGUAAGUCGGCUGUGAAAGUCCAGGGCUCAACCCUGGGAUGCCGGUCGAUACUGCCGGACUAGAGUUCGGAAGAGGCGAGUGGAAUUCCCGGUGUAGCGGUGAAAUGCGCAGAUAUCGGGGAGGAACACCUAUGGGCGAAGGCAGCUCGCUGGGAC